rnacentral:piRNA from 1 species
UGAAAUGUACAGCAAAUGGUGGAAAUCUAGA